UACGAGGGGGGCUAGGGUUGUUCGGAAUCACUGGGCGUAAAGGGAGCGUAGGCGGGAGCCUAAGUUGGGUGUUUAAUUCCGGGGCCCAACCCCGGGCGUGCACUCAAAACUGGGUUUCUUGAAUAGGGGAGAGGUCGGUGGAAUUGGAGGUGUAGCGGUGGAAUGCGUAGAGAUCUCCAAGAACACCCGUUGCGAAGGCGGCCGACUGGACCCAUAUUGACGCUGAGGCGCGAAAGCGUGGGGAGCGAACAGG
rnacentral:rRNA from 1 species